GAUGAAGAACGUAGCGAAAUGCGAUAAGUAAUGUGAAUUGCAGAAUUCAGUGAAUCAUCGAAUCUUUGAACGCACAUUGCGCCCCCUGGUAUUCCGGGGGGCAUGCCUGUUCGAGCGUCAUUAUAACCCCUCAAGCUCAGCUUGGUGUUGGGGCCUGCCGCACGGGCAGCCCUUAAAAUCAGUGGCGGUGCCAUCUGGCUCUAAGCGUAGUAAUUCUUCUCGCUAUAGAGUCCCGGUGGAUGCUUGCCAUUAACCCCCAAUUUUCUAUGGUUGACCUCGGAUCAGGUAGGGAUACCCGCUGAACUUAAGCAUAUCAAUAAGCGGAGGA
rnacentral:misc_RNA from 1 species